rnacentral:rRNA from 1 species
UACGAAGGGGGCUAGCGUUGCUCGGAAUCACUGGGCGUAAAGCGCCACGUAGGCGGCUUGUUAAGUCAGGGGUGAAAUCCUGGAGCUCAACUCCAGAACUGCCUUUGAUACUGGCGAGCUUGAGUUCGGAGAGGUGAGUAGAACUGCGAGUGUAGAGGUGAAAUUCGUAGAUAUUCGCAAGAACACCAGUGGCGAAGGCGGCUCACUGGCCCGAUACUGACGCUGAGGUGCGAAAGCG